UACGGGGGGGGCAAGCGUUGUUCGGAAUUACUGGGCGUAAAGGGCUCGUAGGCGGCCAACUAAGUCGGAUGUGAAAUCCCCAGGCUUAACUUGGGAACUGCAUCCGAUACUGGAUGGCUUGAAUUCGGGAGAGGGAUGCAGAAUUCCAGGUGUAGCGGUGAAAUGCGUAGAUAUCUGGAGGAACGCCGGUGGCGAAAGCGGCACGCUGGACCUUUUCUGACGCUGAGGCGCGAAAGCCAGGGGAGCAAACGGG
rnacentral:rRNA from 1 species